UGAAAUAUGAAAUUUUAUUAAAAGAAAAAGGGGUGAAAAGAACAAAGUUUUGUCCAUCUUUGUUCAUCAUAGCUGAAAGUUAGAGAAGAGAAAGGAGAGGAGAAAGCUCUUGAAUGUUCGGUCACUUGGGGAAGAAAAUUGAAGGAAAUCCCCAACCAUAGUGGGCUUGGAGCUGUGAGGGAAUUCGGAGUGGCCACCCGUUCUGAAAGUUUGGUUUUCUUCUGGUGAACUGGACAUCCUAUUAUUUACGUUGAGGUUUGGGUUUUUAAAUGUAAUAAGGCCGCUUAAUUA